UCCAGUGGCCAGUGGGUGAGCAUGCGGCAGAGCCUGGAAGUGUUUAUGUGGCAGCCCUCAUGUUUCAGCAGCACCUCACACCCUCCUCCUGCAAGCUUCUCCCCGCUGCAACACUGCCUCCCGUGGUCAGCUGCUACCCGGGCCCCCUGUGACAGGUACACACCUCAGUGCCUCUAGGACUCUACUUCGUCCACUGCGAGCAGAGCGAGUGCUGUCAGGGGUUGAAGAUGCACUGUUACAACCACUUCUUGAAAGGGAAGUCCUCUGCCCUUGGGGUUUCACUAUUGACGUUGCAGACAUUAUCUCCUGUAACUGCUUCUGAAAGUUCUCUCUCAUCUCUAAAGUCUGUGUCAGAACUUGAAACAAACACAAAUACACCAUUCAAGUUUUAAUAUAUGCUAAUAUUCCAAAAAGGUGACUACUGUAUAAACUCAUGGAAGACCACUGCUACUCAUGAUAUCUGAGCCCCCAGAUUGGUCUCAGCCUUGGGACUGUUGGAUUUGUGGUUACUUUUCAUAGGUAUACAAACGUAUUAAUACUCCAUCAUUUUGUAAUGUAGUCAGCCUUAGGCAUUACAUAACUGAACAUGUAUCUUUUCUAUAUUAUGCACCUUCUAUUUCUCCUACGCAUCACAGAGUGCUGUACUGCCUGCCGCUUUUUUAAAUUAUAAAAGUAGGUAGGUUAUAUUUAUAAAUUUCAUUUUAAUAGAGGGAAUGUUACACAAAUAUUUGUAAUAAAAUGAAGAUGCUGUAUCUGAUGUGUUGCAAAGAUCUGGCCUACAUGUUUAACUGUCUGAAGGCAGAAGACAGUAUUGGAUGAUCUCUUUGGGACAGUCUGGUCCUAGAUCAAGAAAGGGAACAUUUGGAACAACUUCACUUGAAAACUGCUUACUCUAUGAAUACAUAAAUAUCAUAACUUCUGCAUAUUAAAAGGCUCUUCCCUUUUAUCAAUUACCAAUUACCAAUCCAUUUCAGGAAAAGAUUUAAUAUAAACUUUAAUGCAAUGCACUGGUUCAAUUCUGUUUAGGAAUUUCAGUAAUAAAUUAUAUUUUUUAUACUGAGAGGACUGGCAUUUUAAAUCGUAUAAAAACAUACCUCCUAUAUGUUCCCUUGAAAGUCUUACGUCUACAUCAAAACAGAAUAUACAAGGAAACAUUCGAUUUUGAGGGAAAAAAACAUACACACAUCCCUUGUGGGGCUACUAUGAGAAUGAAAUGAGAUAAUGCUCAGCAACUGGCAAUAGGUAACAUAAUAGGUAAUUAGAUAAUAAUAGAUAACAUUACAUAAUAAUUCAUAAUAGGUAAUACAAAUAUACUGUAGAAGAGCUGCACUAUUUCAAAUGGAUGUACCAAACACUAAGAUGCUUAUAUCUAUUACAGAUUAAUUUUACUUCUGUAUUUUCCUGCCCUAAUUUCUUUAUCAAACAGAAAACAAACUGAAAUAAGAGUUACCAAAGGGGAAGAUGAAACUAAUCAUAUUCCUGAAAUGGUUCAUCAUUUGUUACACAAAUUCUUAUGCUAUCUAUGAAUGGCUGAACACAAAUUAUCAACAAAGUAAGCAUUACAGAUAGUAGGGGAGUACAGUCAACUCAGGACUGGCUGAAAUAGGGAAGAGAUUCUCAAUUCCGGAUACUGAUGCCAUUUGUGCUAGAAAUCUGUCUUUAGCUUAGUCUGUCAGGCUGACUGAAGAAAAAUCUGAUAAUCUAAGUCUCCAAAGUCUUAAAAAAAAAAGAUAAUUAAAACAUGCUCAAAAAAGACUAUCUUAAUAAAGGAGGGCUGCCAGAGUACUUAGUACUACUCCCAGAGAGCUCUAAUCUGAAAAAUCACUAGUAAAAAUAAACUUAAUCUCAGAUGCAGAUGUAUUACUAUUAACAGACUCUAAACUCCUUGAACACAGGGAUUCUUUUAAGCUAUACUGAUCAUUCAUGGAUCCUAAGUUUUCUAGAAUAGUGGCACAAAAUAGGUUCUCCAAUGUUUGUUGUGCAUACCCUAAAAAAUAUACAUUUUAUAUAUGUGUGUGUGUAUAUAUAUAUAUAUGAGUGAACCAAUAUGUGACAGGCUAUUUUCAACAGAUGUGGUAAAUUAAAAAUCAGCUGGAGAGAUUUUGUAGAUAAAGACGCAUGAAACAACCAAAUAAAUGUUUCCUUGUAGAUGCUCACAAUAGCUUUAGGUUUCCUUAUAAAUUUCAGUCAUAUCACCAUGAAACAGAAAGAUGUGCCAACUACCUGUAAUCUGCUCCUAGAGAGGCUGCAAUCCCAUUUAGUUCACUCUGCUUCUUACUGAGUUUUUUACUAACACAUACCACUACUUUGUGAAGUGGCUUUGGGGCUUCUUCCUGUCCAUGGAAAAUAAAAGAAACAGAUCAGUCAUUAUUGUUUGAAAUGUUAUCUAAAACUUCCUUUUAAUAAGAGAACUAAUCCUACCUUCUCUGACUGGGCCUCUUUCAGUUGAGGGCUGGCAGAAAGCGCGACAGCAUUUCGAGAGCUAUUUGCCAAAGCAAGUUGCAAGUUUUUGACAAUAACUUCUGAGAGCGGUGUACUCAGUUUCCUUUUCUGUUGGCUGGGACGUCCUGGAGUUUCCAAGGCUGCAAGUGCAUCCUAUACAUAUGAAGGAGAGAGCGAGAAGGAGAAACGAAGAGAGAGAAGCAAGAUGGGUUAAUAGGACAGGAAAAAGAAAGAGGAGGAGAGAGGGGUAAAGAGAGAGAAGGGGGAGAAUCCUCAAAAUUAAUGGGUUACAGUUUAACAUCCUCUAGUUUUCCUCCAAAUAACAAUGAAAAGAAUAAACUAAUCGAAUCUAUAUACUGUGAAGAACAAAAAUUCCAUACUGUCCAGCAUAUUGGUUCAGAGACUAACAAGCUUACAUUUUCAGCAGUGCUUGCCUCUUACCUGAAUCUUAGAGUUGAAUUUGAAAAAAAAAACAAAAAAACAAAACAAAAAAACAAACUCAGAAGGAAGCAAACAAGCAACGAUGGAUAUAAUCAAGAAACGAAUUAUAAAGAAGGUUAGAAAGUCAAAACGAGCUGAGAAUUACAAAAAAAAAAAAUCUUCAAAAGUUCAAAAUAUAUUUCUGUUCUAAAGCCACCAACAGUUCCCUCCUGAAAGGAAGCUACUGUUGUCCGGAUGGCUUGCUCAUUCUCUUUUGCAUGUGUACAGUAUUUCAUGUAUGUAUCAGAAUGUAUUUAACCUGUAUACAACUGUAAGCUUUAGGUUAACAAUCUUUUGCUAGUAUAAUGAUGCAAUGAAUAACCUUGUACACAAACCAUUUUGCACAUACAAGAGUAAAAGAAACCUUUUAAGCAAAAUGCAUCUACCAGCCCAGUGCAGUAGCUCCUGGCAGUAAUCUCAGCUACUCCAGAGAAGUUGAAGCAGGAAAAUGGCUCAAGGCCAGGAGUUUGAGACCAGUCUGGGAAACACGGUG